AUAUAUAUAUAUAUAUAUAUAUAUAUAUAUAUAUAUAUAUAUAUAUAUAUAUAUAUUAUUUAAUUAAUACAAAACAUUAAUACAAAAACUCGCAGCAUACGUUGAAUUUUUUACGCAUUUCUUAGCUAGUGCGUAUGGCUAGUACACAAUUUUGACAUUGUAUUGUUGGUUGCCUAUUAAACCAGAAUUCAUAACCUGACAUUUUUUUCGUUCGCGCCAGUUUCCACCAAAACGAGCUUGGUUUUUGUGUGAUUUUCUGUGGUUGUUGCUUCUGAUUUCCGAACAUAAAAAAACAGUAUUUUUCAAUACUAAAUUUCAUGUUUUCUUGAUUUGGAAUCAUGGUGUAUACCAGUGAACAAAAAGCCUUUUUGUUGGAAAGUUAUUUCCGAAAUGGAGAGUAAGUGAACGGUGUUUGGAAAUAUUCAAUUCAACCGUGCCUGGAGGAGUUUCGAGAAGCUUUUCCUGAGGUUGUUAUCGUCUAUGAAGAAUUUAAAAACACUUUUCACCGAAAUGUGAACUUGUUUCGUGGAACUGCGUCCACCUCGCAUAAAGAAGGUAGUGGAAGACCAACUGAGCGAACAGAAGAAGUUAUUCAGCUACGCAGGAAAUUUUGGAGCAAGACCCAAAAACAUCGAUUAAACAUCUGUCUCAACAAGUUGAACUUUCUGUUGGUACUUGCCAUAAACUUCUACGAAAAGAUUUACAUGUGUACCCGUAUCGUGUCCAAUCUGUUCAAGAGUUACAACCUGUGGAUUUCCCUAGGAGAUUACAGUAUUGUCAGUGGUUUUUAGAUAACAUUGCAAAUAACAAUGAACUUUUGGAAAAAACUUUCUUUACGGACGAAGCAUGGUCUCACCUGUCUGGCUACACGAAUUCACAAAACAUGAGAAUUUAGGCUACAGAACAUCCUCAUGAAGUUGUGGAAGAACCUCUUCAUCCAGAAAAAAUAGGUGUUUGGGCAGCUAUCAGCAAAAGAAGAAUUUUCGGUCCAAUUUUCUUUCAAGGUUGAGUGUUUUUUCGUAAUGUUAGGGUUAAAACUACAGUUUGAUGUGCUUUUCAGGAACAUUAACUGCAGUACGUUAUCACGAAGAAAUUCUUACGCCUUUUAUCGAAGAACUUCACGAUGAUGAAUUACGAGAAGGUUUGCUUCAACAAGAUGGUGCAACAGCGCAUUGCACAGCAGAAACUUUAGACUUUCUGAGAACGUUUUUUGAUGACAGAAUAAUUAGCAGGAAUACAGCAAAUGAUUAUCCCCCAAGACCAUGUGAUUUAACGCCUUGCGACUUUUAUCUUUGGCCACGCAUUAAAAAUUCAAUUUUUGUUACACUAAUUCCAACUAUUGAUGAAUUAAGACGACGCAUUCAACAGAAAAUUGAUGAAAUUAACGAAAAUCCACUUGAACUGAGUAAUGUGUUAAACAGUGUUCGAAGGCGUUGUGUUAUGUGUGUUGAGCAACAAGGAAGACAUUUCCAACAGUUUUUAUAGUUAAUAAAUAUUUUUACGAAAAUGUGUUAUGUUUUAAUUGUCAAAAAGUAAGAUUAUGAAAUCUUUCAAUUUGACAAGUAAGUGCACAAAUUAAUCAUAGGCAUACAAAACAAUUGUUUUUUAAUUUUAAAGCACUCUAGAGUUUUUUUUUAAAUGAACGCUUGAUAUAUAUUCGUAAUUGUUAUGGAUUCGAAAGAAUUUCAUAAAUUCACGUCGCAUUCAAUCUUGCAAAGAGUGAAGAGAAUGUUUAAACUUUUAAAUCGGCAAAGUUAAAAAAAAAUAUUUUCCCUAAAGUUUAAUAAAACAUUUCUUAGGCCCGAAGGCACGUUGUGACCCGAAAGAUGGUGAUCUAUGACUGGUCAGGACGAAGUCAGGGGAAACCCUGAUGGAGGUCCGAAGCGAUUCUGACGUGCAAAUCGAUCGUCGGAACUGAGUAUAGGGGCGAAAGACUAAUCGAACCAUCUAGUAGCUCGUUCCCUCCGAAGUUUCCCAUAGGAUAGCUGGCGCUCGUCGCCUACGAGUUUCAUCCGGUAAAGCGAAUGAUUAGAGGCAUUGGGGUCGAAACAGCCUCAACCUAUUCUCAAACUUUAAAUGGGUGAGAUCUGCCAUAAAUAACAAAUAAAUACAAAAGAUUAUUGCCGCAAUUGAAAGAAAGAUUUGGUGCAUCCGAGGCCCAAGUAGUUACAAUCGCCAUCGGGUCUCGGGGGAUGCCCAAAUCCACAUUAGAGGACCUAAAAACACUAGAAAUCAAGGACAAGAAAACAGCGCUCACCCUGUCGCUGACAGCACUCCGGUCCUCUAUUGAACUGUACCACACCUUCAUGGAAUAUAUGCUUGGUGCAGUUCGCCUUCCCCAAUCGGUGGAUCCUGAUGUUUUAUCCCAGGAGACCGGGGCUUUUUAGCAAUGAAAUGUUAAAUGUCAGUGUGCAUGUCCUUCCAACUAUAGCUUUGUAGCGUGUUGUGUUAUCCAUUUUAUUCCUUUUUAUUAGGUAUGGGUUUUUCCAUACCUAAUUUUUAAAUACGGUAUUUUUAUACAACGCGUCUCAGCUAAGACUUUCGAGCUUAAUAUCUCCGUUAUUUGUCAACGGAUUGUUAUGAAAUUUAGAAUGCACAUAUUUUAGGAGGCGGUCUUUCAAUUAGUGGCAAAAAAUGACCUUAAGUUAAAAAAUGAAAUUUUAAUACACACUUCUUUUAUUUAAAAUAAAACCAAAUAAGAGAGUCAUAGUUACUCCCGCCGUUUACCCGCGCUUGCUUGAGAAGUUUCCAGACGAUCCGGUGAAUUUCUGCAAUCCAGGAGGUGCUGGUGCUUUUAGGGGCUCCGAAUUUAUUUAGAAGUAUUAACCAGUUUUCUGGGGGAGUAAUUUGUUCCUCGACAUUUCUUUUAAGCAGCUAGAGAAAGUAUCUCGGUCGAUUGUGUUGGUCACAUCUUUAAUAAGGAUUUUUGGGAAAAUUUUGUAAGGCAAUUUUGAACACAGGCAAGCUUUGAAGACUUUAAAGUUUAAUUCUUUUGCUCUAAUAGUUUUAGUCAAGGCAAUUGUUGUUUUUUUUUUUUGAAGUGUCAAUAUUUUUAGCAUUGUUUUACAUUUGUGUGUAGUUUUAUGGGGUCGAGUGUUUGGUUGGCAAACGUUUGCCGAUUUGGAGGUAGCGAUCUGUGCAUAAGUUGAUAUACCACUUUUCAUUUCACAUAAGGUAUUGACGAUUGUGUUUUAAUUUUUUCUUCUAGAUCGUUGUUGGUACGAUUAUUAUUAACAUAUUUACUCGCUUCGACUCUUUUAUUAAGUGAGUCUUUCGAUGAGCAAAUAAAUUCCGAGAUUACCUUGAAAUUGCGAUUAAUAAACGUUUGAGUUCCAUGGAAUACUCUAGCAGGGAGAUAUGGUUUAGAACGCGAAGAGCACCGCAGUUGCGGCGGUGUUCGGAUCUUCCCCUUGGACCUUGAAAAUCCGGGAGAGGGCCACGUCGAGGCGUCGCGCCGGUUCGUACCCAUAUCCGCAGCAGGUCUCCAAGGUGAAGAGCCUCUAGUCGAUAGAAUAAUGUAGGUAAGGGAAGUCAGCAAAUUGGUUCCGUAACUUCGGGAUAAGGAUUGGCUGUAAGGAUCGGGGCAUGUCGGGCUUGGCGAGGAAGCGGGUCGCGGCUGACGUGCCGGGCCUGUGCGAGGUGAAGCGUUGUUCCGUUUUGGCGGUCAAUCUUGAAAUCUGAGUUCGGUCUCGUGCCUUGGCCUCCUGCGGAACCGUCUUGCUGCGACGCUCGGGGUUCGCCCAACUCCUCUUCAGGCGUCAUUAACGGUCAGCUCAGAACUGGCACGGACUGACUGUUUAAUUAAAACAAAGCAUUGCGAUGGUCCCUGCGGAUGUUGACGCAAUGUGAUUUCUGCCCAGUCCUCUGAAUGUCAACGUGAAGAAAUUCAAGCAAGCGCGGGUAAACGGCGGGAGAAACUAUGACUCUCUUAAUGGAAGACCCCGCCCAUGAGGCUUGGAGAGUGUGAUCCUGAUCACACUUGAAAAGUUAUGCUGAGUACGUCGUGAGAGUCGGUAACUGUCCCAGGAUGGUCUGGGAUAGGCUAAACCUCAGCAGGGGAAAGUUGUAGGGGCCUGCCACCCCU
rnacentral:ncRNA from 1 species